AAGAAAUUAAAUCAUUUUUGGGAAGCCCUCAAGGUACCAUAAGCUCUGGGCAGUGUGCCUAAGACUUCUAAUGGAGAAUUUAGCCCUGUGCAGAUGAUAUUGCAGAGGAGGAAUGCUUAGUUAAUUUAGGAAAAAAUUGGACACGGAGAUAAGGACAGAGGAAAGAUGAUGUGAAGACAGGGGCAGAAGUCAGCCAUCUACAAGUCAAAGGGAGACAUGUGGAACAGAUUCACCCUCACAGCCCUCAGAUGGAAGCAACACCACUAACACUUUGCUCUUGGACUUCUAGCUUCCAGAACUGAGAGACAAUAUCUUUCUGUUGCUUAAGUCAUUCUGUCUGUGAUACUGUGUUUAUGGCAGCCCUGGCAAACUAAUACAGUCCCACAAAGAUUUGGUUGUUGCUUUGCAAGAGAAUGUAUAAUUCCUGGUUAUUUCUACAAAUAAGGGCAUUGACUUUAUAAAGCUACAAGUAUACCCCAGUAUUCUGUUUCUGGUUUUUGUUUACUUUCAUAUAUGCUAUCUUUUCAUUCCCAGGUGAAAUCAUAGUGCAUUUUAAAUGAUAUUUUAAAGAGCAAUUAUACUCGUCAUAUGUACUUCAAAUAAUACUGAUUCCUCAAUUGAAGUAAUGGUAACAUGAGUGUAUUAGUUAAUUUUUUCUGAAUAACUAGUUACCUCCAAAGUUCAUGCCUUCAAGCAACACAUAUUCAUUAUUUCACAGCUUCUUUGGGUCAGGAGUCUUGGCAUAGCUUAGCUGAGUCCUCUGGCUCCUGGCGUCCCAGGCUGUAAUCAAGGUGGUGGCCAGGACUGUAGUCAUGUCAGGGCUCGCCAGGGAAGGAUCUGCCUCCAAGCUAACCAGUGUGGCUUUUGGCAGAAUAUAUUUCUAUGCAGGUUGUUGGACUGAGUUUCUUGCUGGCUGUUCCAGAGGUUCCCUUAGCAUCUUGUCGUGUGGCCUCUUCAUAGGUCAAUUCAUAUUGGCUUCAUCAAAGUGAGCAGGUAAGAUAGCAAAAGAGAAUGCCCAAGAUAGAAGCCAUAGUCUUUUUGUAAUCUAAUCUUAGAAGUGACAGCCUGUUAUAUUUGCUAUAUUCUCUUUGUUAGAAACAAGUUUCUAGGGCUGGGCAUGGUGGCUCACAUCUGUAAUCCCAGCAUUUUGGGAGGCCGAGACAGGCAGAUCACCUGAGGUCAGGAGUUCGAGACCAGCCUGGCCAACAUGGCGAAAUCCUGUCUCUACUAAAAAUACAAAGCCGAGUGUGGUGGCGCAGGCCUGUAAUCCCAGCUACUUGGGAGGCUAAGGCAGGAGAAGCACUUGAACCUGGGUGGUGGAGGUUGCAGUGAGCCAAGAUUGUGCCACUGCACUCCAGCCUGGGUGACAGAGUGAGACUCCAUCUCAAAAAACAAACAAACAAAAAACCAAAUUACUAGGUUUGUCUCAUUCUCAAGGGAAGAGUUUACUCAAGAGAAUAAAUACCAGGAGGUUGGGAUCACUGGAGGCCAGUUUAGAGUCUGCCUACCAAUAGGAGCAAGGCCAUCAAUGUCAGUCAGUGACAUCAACAUCAUGUAGACUGCUUGGCCAACAGUAAUGCUAAAAUGCCAUCAAUCUUGAGAUCAUCUUCAUCUCAUAAAUAUUAACAUGUAAAAAAAGUCAUUUUAAAGUAAAGAAAAUAUGUUAUUUUUUAACAUUUGAAACAGCCCCUGAAGUCAUGUUUUAGAACAUUUUCUCAUCAUUUUUUGUGUGACUUUUAUAAUAUCUUUUAUAUUAUAUGUUAUAAUAGGGAAUAAAGAAAGUAAAAUAACUCCAAAUCAAAUUUUGAGCACUUACCAAUUAUUAAAUCAUUUAAACAGUCAGGAAAUGGAUACUACUGUGUUCUAGAAAUGGGUACCAACUCUCAAAAUGUUUCACAUACUCAUGGAAAUAACAUGGCUUUAAUGGAAGGGCUUAGGGAGUUCUGCUUCAAGCUGGCUGAUCAGAAAAAGGAGAAGCCUCAGAAAGGAAGUGGGAUCUGUACAUGCACCCAGGAAGCACAGCUUUAGUGUCAAUGGAGAAGUUUCGAAUAGCAAAAUUCUCCACUGAACUUGCUGAAAGCACGAGAGGAGAAAGAAGCAUUUGCAGGCCCAGAUGAUACCUAAGAGAGGACUGUGCAUUGCUUUUCAACCUCCACAUGUCAGUACUCAAGGGAUAAGCUGAAUUUUAAAAAUUUACUUUUGUAUUUGUUUCAUUGUAUAUUACUACCUGUUCACUAUAGCUAAUUGGGAAACUUACAAAAAUUAGAAAUAAUAAGAUUCCUCUUUCCCCAAAGUCACCACUAUCCUGAAUUUUAAAACUAGAGCUUACUUUUGCAAUCUUGACACUUUAUUUCACUACCGUCAUAUAGUAUCCUUCUGUGUCUCAGUCCUUUUUCUUUUUUUGACAUUGUUAUGAAGUUCAUCCAUGUUGUUGCAUGGGCUAAGGCUCAUUUUUAUUGCUGAAUAAUGUCAUAUUGUAUGAAUGUACUAAAUAUUCUUAGUCAUCCUUCUGUUGAGGGUAUUUGUGCUGUUUCCAGUUAGGACUUUCACAAAUCAUGGUUUCAUGAACAUUCUUUGUGAUGGCUAAUAUCAGGUGUCAACUUGAUUAGAUUGAGGGAUGCCUAGAUGGCUGGUCAUUGUUUCUGGGUGUGUCUGUGAGGGUGUUGCCAGAGGAGAUUGAUAUUUGAGUCAGUGGACUGGGAGAGGAAGAUCUCAUGCUCCUCAAUGUGAGUGGGAACCAUCCAAUCCAUGGCCAGCAGUCCUCUCUCAGACAAAAACAAAGCAGGUGGAAGAAGGUGGGAUAAGUUGGCUUGCUGAGUCUUCUGGCUUUCAUCUUUCUCCUGUGCUGGAUCGUUUUUGUCCUUGGACAUCAGACUCCAUGUUCUUCCGCCGUUGGACUCUUGGACUUACAGCAGUAGUUUUGCUGGGGGCUUUUGGGCCUUUGGCCACAGACUGAAAACUGCACUGUCAGCUUCUUUGGUUUUGAGGCUUUUGGACUCAGACUGAGGCACUAUUGGCUUCUUUCUUCCCCAGUUUGCAGAAGUCAUAUUGUGGACUUUGCCUUGUGAUCGUGUGAGCCAAUUCUUCCUAAUAAACUCUCUUUCAUAUAUACAUAUAUCCUAUUAGUUCUGUUCCUCCAGAGAACCCUGACUAAUAUACUCAUAGAUAUGCUUUUUGGUACACGAUUUCAAGCAUAUAUUUGGUGUAAACCUAAGAGUGAGAUUGUCACAUCACAGGACUUUCAAAUGCUCAACUUGAAUGGUUAAUGUUGAACUGCUUUCCAAAGAAGUGAGGCCAACUCAUACCCUACCAGUCAUGUUUCUCUGUUUUUUUUUCAAAGAUUUUGGUAGUAUCAGUCUUUGCAAUAUUAGCCAUUUUGUUGAGUAGGUAGUAGUGUGUCAUUUUGGUUUUCACUGGAUUUUGUGAUGACAAAUGAAGUUGAACACUUUUACUUAGCUAUACUUUCAGUUUAGUUUACUUGUAAUUAGUUACAGUGUUUAAUGGCUGUUUGGGUCUCUUCUUUCAUGAAGUGCCUAUUCUUGUCUUUUGCCUAUUGUUUCCUAUUGGCUUGUUUGCAUUUUUGUUAGUGAUUUCUAAAAAGUCUCUAUAUAUUUGGGAUAAGUGGCUGUGACUCAGUUUUAUAACGUAUAAAAUAGAAAUAAUAAUGCUCCCCACAUAUGACAUUGUUAUGAGGAGUGUAUUAGUUAAUACACAGAAAAGCUUCAAGCCAAAUGUGGCACAGAGUAAGUGCUCAGUAUUAUUGUGCUUAGCCGAAAGAACACUGCUAAGAACUGUGGACACAGAAAUCCAAAGAGGCCUUCUAACUUCCAUUCAACACAUUUUGCCUUGCACAACAACUUCUCAGAAGUUCUGAAACUCACUAUACUUGCCCCUAAUUGUGCCCCAGUACUAGCUUUAGUGAGAAGUACUGUGAUAAUUUUGUUACAAUCCCAACACUAUUUUUUAAAAUUGUAUUUUUCCUUGUAGAAGAAGGCAGUUUUCAAGCUGCAAAUUGAUAGGGAAGCACUUAUUCUCACAGGCACUGCAUGGUACAAUUGGCAUUUAGCAUGUUCAUUGCAAAAGUUUUAAAAGAAUAGCACUGCAGCAGGAGAAAGAGGAAGACAACGACAAUAACAACAACAACAAAGCAAAGUAAAAACUACUCCCUGAAUGCAGAAAUAAAAUGUAUUAAAAAUUAAAGGGUGCACAAUGGGAGCAAUUAAGUGUUUUAGGCCAAGUGCCCAUUCUUGCCUCAUCCAAAUUCCCUUGGUUCACUGGCCACAUUUAAGAAAAAAGGGACAAUUUUUAUCUUCUGCCCUAGUGAAAAUUGUUUUGCUCCCAGUAGCCAGACAAUAAAAAUUUCCUAUAAACAAAUAAACACACUUUAAUCACCGUGGUUAUUCUCCUUCUAUCAGUGGAAUUUUCACAGAUAAAGUUUGUUGAGGAGGAUAGAAAAACCACAAUUUAGGCCUUUGAAACCAAAAAUGACAGAAAAAUCUUUCAUUUAUUAUUCCUCGUGGACAAUAGCUCUUAAUAUCUUCCUUCUAGGUUUCUUAAUUAAAUUCAGCUUCUUAUAUUUUUCUCUUGAUUCACCCACUUUCAUUCCCAGAUUAACCUAGAUCUUCAUAACUAUAAUUUCUCAACUGUAAAAUUUCAUUUACCUCAUUUAAAUUUCUGUAGAUUUCUCUCCCCAAGUGGAAAGUUUGAUUAUUCACUCUUUCACCUUUCUCCCCAGGCAAUAAAACUAUGCUGCUUAGACUAGUGCUAACUGAUUUAUAAACAGUCAAAUAAAUUGCAUUAUUCUGUAUAAUUCAUAUAUGUGUGAAUAUAGAGUGACUUUAGAAAGUGACAGUGAUAGUCCUAGCCUGUGAAGAAUGGCCACCAUCUUCAAAGAUCCUUCUGAAGCGUUAUCUUUUCCACACAAUCUCUGAUUUCUUCUUGGGGAAAGGACUAGUUUUCUCUUUCAAAUCCCCCAGCAUGUCUCCAAGGGCAUUAUAGUUGAUUAGUUCAUUUUUUCCUGAUCAUCUGCUCCCUGCAUCUCCAUAGAGGAUGAGACAUACCUGCCUCUUGCUAUAUGACUUUCAGUGGCCCCCUGUGCUUUUCUGUCACUGGUGCCAGGCUUGGCCAAGUGACAUUCUUCAGUCAACGGAAGGGGAGCAGAUUAGUUCCUUCUGAGAGGAAGUUUUCAAAGGCAUUAUAAGUUUUUACCAGCUUCAUUGCUCUUUUCCUGUGCCAAGUUCCUUCGGCUUGGUCCCAAGAAUGAGAAGGCACAUGGAACCAUGGGACCUGAGCUGUGGCCUCCUACAUGUGACAUGAGCAAGAAAGAAAUAUCUGAGGUUUGGGGGUCAUUGGUUACUUCAGCACUUAGCACUUUAUUGAAAUUGUUUGUUUGUUUGUCUUAUUCAAGGUGCAUUCAGGAAAUGCAUCUUCUUCGUUGGAUGUCUGCAUAGUCUGGAGCUUGGCAGUUGGUGGGAGCUAAUAAAUGUUUGUGGAAUAAGUGAAUGAUUCAAUGAAGAUCUCCAAUGAGAAGCAUCUAUUAUCUGCCAUGGCAAUUGUGCUGACUGGAGAAUGUUUCUUACCCUGAGCAGAAAUUGAAUCCUCCUGUACUUCCACUAUGGGUUUUAGUUAUAUCCCUUAGGCUCCUAUAAAACCGUCUAAUUCCUCAUCCAUAUGACAGCCCUCUAAUGCCUGAAAGCAGUGCUACUAUUCAUCUUAGGAUUUUAUCUUUGCAGAAUAGGUAUUCCCAGUCCUUAUCCAUUUUGGUAUCUCCCAUGGUUUUAAUGUCCUUGGUUUCCUGGGGGUCCUCUUUGCAGGUGCUCUUGAUGCAUGUCUCUCUUAGCACAUGGGAUCUGCAAUUAGCAUCAUUAUCCAUGUGUGGUCAGAGUAGCACAGGGUGAGGAAAGAGUGUCUCCUCCCUCUGUCUAGACAAAUUAUACUGAGUCUAACACAGCCUCCAGUUGCCUUCACUGGUCUUGGCAGCCCCAUCAUGCUGCUGACCCAUGUGGAGUCAACCAAAUCCCUUAAGUCUUUUCCAGGAGCCUUUAUUGUCAAGCUCUGCCUCAACUUGUGCAGGUGGUUUGGGGAAUCCAAAUGUAGAUCUUUAUACUUUUCCCUGUUUGCCUACUCCCCUCAUUUCAUCUAGUUACUGAUUUCUGUCUACAGUAUUUUGGGAAAUGAAGGCUUUGGUUUCUGGGAAAGGAAAUGCAGCAGGUAGUCCACACAAAGGAGAAACAACUGUGUCUUGUUAAUCCUGGUAUGGCUAGAGAGCUCCAUUUUCAGGUUCUGCAAUGUAUACUUCACUAUGUGAGGUAGCUCAUUUCUAGUACUGUACUGUCUUUGCUUGGUUUCUCAGGGGGAAUAGAAGAGUAGCAUCAAUAGCACACACCAACAAGAAGCUCUAUGUGUGACAUAUAGACUGACUGUAAGGUGUUCCCCAUAACCCCUGCUUCCCGGUAAUCAUGCUCUUUGAUUAUCCCCUUGGCUUGAGUAUAGACAUGUCCUGUAACUUGCUUCUAUCCAAUGGAAUAUGGCAAAGCCAAUGGGAUAUAUGUGAUUGCAUGUACAUAAUUAUAUUUGGUGUGAUUGUAACAUUGCUUCCUUGCUGGCUGUGAGGAGCAAGGUUCUAGGCUGUGAUCUGUUCCCUGGGAAGAGGCCACAUAGUCAGAAACUGAGGGCAACUUCUAGCUGACAGCUAGCAAGAAGCUAAGGCCCUCAACCUGACAGCUUGCCAGAAACAGGAUGCUAUCAACAACCAAAUGGGCCUGGAAAAUGAUGCUUUCCCAGUCCACCCUUGAAGUGAGGUUGCAGCACUGGCUGAUGCCUUGAUUGCAGCUUCCAGAUGAGACUCUGAGGCAGAUGAUUCAACAAAGCCAGGCCCGACUCCUGAUCCAUGGAAACUGUGAUAUA
rnacentral:lncRNA from 10 species